rnacentral:lncRNA from 1 species
UAUUUGAAGUUAUUAUCCUAUAUACCAUCCUUAUUAUUUACUCUAUCAUUCUAAACCAUUUUUUAUUUCUGUAAUUUUCUUAGAUCAUUUUCCAAAUGAUCGUUUUCAUUGAAAAACAUACAAUAAAUUCUGUUCUAAUCUAUUUUUAGCAAUCAUUGUCUCCCCUGUUCGAUAACAUCGAUGAUGUUAUCUCAGAGGAGCCUAAGCGGAGUAAUUGAUGGCCGUCGAGCCGCCCGUCAACGCGUGUAACCGAUUUCUUGCAGGGAUUAGAGAGAUGCCCGACAAGACGUUUAGAUGAGCGACGAUUACGCAAUGAUUCGUGACCGAUCUGCACACGCGUUGGAUCGCAGUGAUCGUCCGUAAUGCGAUUAUACGCCUGAUUAUAGGUUCCUCGUAAUUGGAUCGUUUCUAAACUAGAGUUUAACUGGGUUAACCUUUACCAUGAAAUACCUCGUCACGGAGAAAUUCGUCGCAACGACUUUCAAAGAAAGUGCUGUAACAAAUUCAGGAUUUUUUUCAACAUUUCUAUUACAUUAAUACACGGAAUGCAAGAAAAUUCGACUUCCAGCCGAGAUUGAUUGCGUUGAAAGUCUGACAAUCAUAUCGG